rnacentral:rRNA from 1 species
AGAGUUUGAUCAUGGCUCAGAUUGAACGCUGGCGGCAGGCCUAACACAUGCAAGUCGAACGGUAACAGGAAACAGCUUGCUGUUUCGCUGACGAGUGGCGGACGGGUGAGUAAUGUCUGGGAAACUGCCUGAUGGGGGGGGAUAACUACUGGAAACGGUAGCUAAUACCGCAUAACGUCGCAAGACCAAAGAGGGGGACCUUCGGGCCUCUUGCCAUCGGAUGUGCCCAGAUGGGAUUAGCUUGUUGGUGGGGUAACGGCUCACCAAGGCGACGAUCCCUAGCUGGUCUGAGAGGAUGACCAGCCACACUGGAACUGAGACACGGUCCAGACUCCUACGGGAGGCAGCAGUGGGGAAUAUUGCACAAUGGGCGCAAGCCUGAUGCAGCCAUGCCGCGUGUAUGAAGAAGGCCUUCGGGUUGUAAAGUACUUUCAGCGGGGAGGAAGGGAGUAAAGUUAAUACCUUUGCUCAUUGACGUUACCCGCAGAAGAAGCACCGGCUAACUCCGUGCCAGCAGCCGCGGUAAUACGGAGGGUGCAAGCGUUAAUCGGAAUUACUGGGCGUAAAGCGCACGCAGGCGGUUUGUUAAGUCAGAUGUGAAAUCCCCGGGCUCAACCUGGGAACUGCAUCUGAUACUGGCAAGCUUGAGUCUCGUAGAGGGGGGUAGAAUUCCAGGUGUAGCGGUGAAAUGCGUAGAGAUCUGGAGGAAUACCGGUGGCGAAGGCGGCCCCCUGGACGAAGACUGACGCUCAGGUGCGAAAGCGUGGGGAGCAAACAGGAUUAGAUACCCUGGUAGUCCACGCCGUAAACGAUGUCGACUUGGAGGUUGUGCCCUUGAGGCGUGGCUUCCGGAGCUAACGCGUUAAGUCGACCGCCUGGGGAGUACGGCCGCAAGGUUAAAACUCAAAUGAAUUGACGGGGGCCCGCACAAGCGGUGGAGCAUGUGGUUUAAUUCGAUGCAACGCGAAGAACCUUACCUGGUCUUGACAUCCACGGAAGUUUUCAGAGAUGAGAUGGUGCCUUCGGGAGCUGUGAGACAGGUGCUGCAUGGCUGUCGUCAGCUCGUGUUGUGAAAUGUUGGGUUAAGUCCCGCAACGAGCGCAACCCUUAUCCUUUGUUGCCAGCGGUCCGGCCGGGAACUCAAAGGAGACUGCCAGUGAUAAACUGGAGGAAGGUGGGGAUGACGUCAAGUCAUCAUGGCCCUUACGACCAGGGCUACACACGUGCUACAAUGGCGCAUACAAAGAGAAGCGACCUCGCGAGAGCAAGCGGACCUCAUAAAGUGCGUCGUAGUCCGGAUUGGAGUCUGCAACUCGACUCCAUGAAGUCGGAAUCGCUAGUAAUCGUGGAUCAGAAUGCCACGGUGAAUACGUUCCCGGGCCUUGUACACACCGCCCGUCACACCAUGGGAGUGGGUUGCAAAAGAAGUAGGUAGCUUAACCUUCGGGAGGGCGCUUACCACUUUGUGAUUCAUGACUGGGGUGAAGUCGUAACAAGGUAACCGUAGGGGAACCUGCGGUUGGAUCACCU